AACACACCCAGUAUCUUGAGUCUAUCAGCCACUCCUGAGGCACCGACACUCUCUCAAUAGUGAGUCGCCGUGUCACAAACACAGACCUGUGUGUCUUCCCAUAAUAGAUUCACAAGUAACAGCAGCAUCUUUGGGUUCAUUGGCUAUAAUUUACCAACUAACCCUAAUUUCCUUGGUAGAAUGGAUGUUGGCCCUCACGGGUCAUGCUCCACACUUCAAACAGGGUUCCGAAUGGCUGGGAAAGGAUUCAGAGAAGCUGUGGAGCUCAAAGGCCUCACUGGAGGUAGAGAUGCUACAUCAGCUCAGCCAAGCUCCCUCUUGGACCCUGGAUUAGUCACAAACCACAUCCAAAGACCUGUUUUCACAAAGAGAUCUUUUGUUAAGUGGGGAAGAAAAGUUAAAGUGGCUGCUUUCUGAUUCAGAAAAGCAUCAGCAAA